UCCUCUUCUCCUCCCCUGCCUAUCAGCUCCCUUGGUGCUCCUCUUCCUUCCCUUUCUCCCAUGCUCCACAUUCCUCUCCUAUCAGAUUCCUUCUUCUCCAGCCCUUUGCCUAUCCCACCUAUCACCUCCCAGCUUCUUACUUCUUAUCCCCCUUCUUCCCCAUUCUCCUGGCUUCACCUAUCACCUUCCAGCUUGUAUUUCUUCCCCUCCCCACUUCUCAAUCUGUCACCGUCCCUCAUCCUUUCCAGUCUUGAAGAAGGGUCUCGGCCCAAAUCGUCCGUUUAUUCAUUUCCACAGACGCUGCCUGAUCUCCAGCAUUUUGUGUGUACGCUUCCUGAAACUUCCUUGUACCCUCUCCAGAUUAAUUUACAACAGUCUGACUGUCUAACAGUUCACUGUUACUGAGACUAGUUAUUAACUAAAUUUAACUUCCACACAAAAGUCCUUGGUCAGAUUUAAAGUUUUGUUUUGGAUCAUAAAUCCAGACCUUUGGAUUAUCGGACAAGUAACUUAACCACGCGGGUGGUGGGGUGGAGAUACAUCUCUAUCAAAGGAGGUGAGAGGGAAUCCUUUCCUCUGCUAGUCCAUAGGUCCCCCCUGGGCAAGGUAUAUGAGCAGCCGGUGCAUAUCACAAGUCCUGGUUAUGCAACCACCAGCACCAGUAUUGAUAAUGGCUUUGGUCACCUGUUUUGUAAACAUGCUGCCCAGAAGAAAGCAAUGGGAAACCACUUCUGUAGAAAAAUUUGCCAAGAAUAAUCAUGGUUAUGAAUAGCAGAAUUAGGCCAUUCAGCCCAUCGGAUCUGCUCCACCAUUCUAUCAUGGCUGAUCCCAGAUCCCACUCAACCCCAUAUACUUGCCUUCUCACCACAUCUUUUGAUGCCCUGACCAAUCAGGAAAUGAUCAACUUCUGUCUUAAAAAUACCCAUGGACUUGACCUCCACUGCAGUCUGUGGCAAAGCAUUCCACAGAUUCACUACUCUCUGGCUAAAAAAUUCUUCAACUGUUCUAAACGGUCACCCCUCAAUUUUGAGACUGUGCCCUCUAGUUCUGGAUACCCCACCAUAGGAAACAUCCUCUUCCCAUCCACCCUAUCUAGUCAUUUCAAUGAGAUUCUCCUUGCAUUCUUCCAAAUUCCAGUGAGCACAGGCCCAAAGCUGCCAAACGCUCCCCAUAUGUUAAAUUAUUCCCGGAAUCAUCCUCAUGAACCUCGUCUGCACUCUCUCCAAUGAAAUACUCAGCGGGAGUACAGAGUUUGCUGUGCGUGUGUUUUUACAGAGACGUGGCUCACUGAUGGAAUUUCAGACACCGCCAUUCAGCUGGAUGGGCUUGCCUUGUUUUGAGCAGACAGGGAUACAGCUCUCUCCGGUAAGGCUCAGGGUGGUGGCUUGUGUGUCUACAUCAAUACAGAAUAGUCCAACACCAUCACACUGAGCACGGGGACCCCCCAGGGCUGUGUGCUUAGUCCACUGCUGUUCACUCUGCUGACCCACGACUGUGCUGCAACACACAGCUCGAACCACAUCAUCAAGUUCGCCGAUAACAUGACCAUGGUGGGUCUCAUCAGCAAGAACAACGAGUCACCUUACAGAGAGGAGGAGCAGCGGCUAAAGGACUGGUGCAGAGCCAACAACCUGUCUCUGAACGUGAACAAAAGAGAUGGUUGUUGACUUCAGGAGGGCACGGAGCGACCACUCCCCGCUGAACAUCAAUGGCUCCUCGAUGGAGAUCAUUAAGAGCACCAAAUUUCUUGGUGUUCACCUGGCGGAGAAUCUCACCUGGUCCCUCAACACCAGCUCCAUAGCAAAGGAAGCCCAGCAGCAUCUCUACUUUUUGCGAAGGCUGAGGAGAGUCCAUCUCCCACCCCCCAUCCUCAUCACAUUCUACUGGGGUUGUAUUGAGGGCAUCCUGAGCAGCUGCAUCACUGCCUGGUUUGGAAAUUGCACCGACUCAGAUCGCAAGAUCCUGCAACGGAUAGUAAGGUCAGCCGAGAAGAUCAUCGGGGUCUCUCUUCCCUCCACUACAGACAUUUACACUACACGUUGCAUCUGCAAAACAAACAGCAUUAUGAAGGACCCCAUGCAUCCCUCAUACAAACUCUUCUCCCUCCUGCCAUCUGGGAAAAGGCACCGAAGCAUUCAGGGUUUCACGACCAGACUAAGUAACAGUUUCUUCCCCCAAGACUCCUCGAUACCCAGACCCUGGACUGACACCUUACUGCCCUAUUGUCUUGUUUAUUAUUUAUUGUAAUGCCUGCACUGUUUUGUGCACUUUAUGCAGUCCUGGGUAGGUCUGUAGUCUAGAGUAGUGGUUUUUUUCUCUCUGUGUUGUUUUUUACGUAGUUCAGUCUAGUUUUUGUACUGUGUCAUGUAACACCAUGGUCCUGAAAAAACAUUGUCUCAUUUUUACGAUGUACUGUACCAGCAGUUAUGGUCGAAAUGACAAUAAAAAGUGACCUGACUUGACUAGACAACACAUCUUUUCUGAGAUAAGGGGUCCAAAACUUGACAAUACUCCAAGUGCAGAUUGACCAGUGUCUUAUAAAGGCUCAGCAUUAUCUCCUUGCUUUUAUAUUCUAUUUCCCUCGAAAUAAACACCAACAUUGCAUUUGCCUUCUUUACCACAGACUCAACCAGCAAAUUAACCUUCUGGGAGUCUUGCUCGGGGACUCCCAAGUCCUUCUGCACCUCUGAUGUUUGAACCUUCUCCCUAUUUAGAUAAUAGGCCACACUAUUGUUCCUUUUACUAAAAUGCAUUAUCAUACAUUUCCCAUUAUCCCAUCUGCCACUUCUUUGCCCAUUCUUCUGAUUCGUCCAAGUGCUGCUGCAAUCGCAUUGCUUCCUCAGCACUACCUACCCCUCCACCUGUCUUUGUAUCAUCCACAAACUUUGCCACAAAGCCAUCGAUUCCACCAUCCAAAUCAUUGACAAACAAUGUGAAAAGUAGCGGUCCCAGUGCUGACCACCGUAAUGUAUACCCCUGUAGAGGGGUCUUCCCCACAGAUUAAGCAGAGAUGAAAGACCAUGAAAGACCCAGCACACAGUGAAAACCGAACCACUGCACUACGAGGCAAUGCUGGCACCUGGCAGUAGAAGUCAAAGCCCAGGUGAAUGUCUGCAGCUACCAGGCCACCAAGCUCACACUAUGAGUGUGUCACUUCGUACCGCAGUGAGCAUUCUGACUGGUGGCACCACUGUCAGGCACAGAGAGGCCACUGCACUGGAUCAGAAAAAGCUGUGGGAAGUUGUAAACUCCACCAGUUCCAUCAUGGGCACUGGCCUCCCCAGAAUCCAGGAUAUCUUCAAAAGGCAAUGCCUCAAAAAGGUGGCAUCUGUCAUUAAGGACCCCCAUCACCCAGGACAUGCCCUCUUCUCGUUGCUACCAUCAGGGAGAAGGUACAGGAGCCUGAAGGCACACACUCAGCGAUUCAGGAACAGCUUUUCCCCUCUGUCAUCAGAUUUCUGAAUGAACAGUGAACCCAUAAACACUAAUUUUGUUUACACUACUUAUUUUAUUUAAUUUUUUAUAAGCAAUUCUCAUUGUAAUAUAUAGUUUUAAAAAUUUUUACGUAUUGCACUGUACCGCUGCCACGAAGUUACUGACUACCGUGAUGUGCUGGUGAUAUUAAACCCGAUUCUGAUUUGUUCCUUUGUUGUGUGCAGAGCAGUGGCUCGAACUUGCGAAGAUUCAGUAUCUGGGCAACUGACUGGCAGCUCCCAGUUGAACAUUAAACACAAAACAAAUGGGCGGAUACUCAGAGACUCGCAGCUCAAGGUCGCCUAUCAAAGCGCUAACCCUCGUUAGAGAAACUGAGAGACAAGCCUGUCUGCAAGCCCCCACCUGUGGCCCAGCACGGUGGGCAAGGUCGGGCAGUCGCUUUCUGGCAGAACUGACCACUGAAUAGUACAGCUAUCCAGCCCAUCCACGAGAAAGAUUUACAGGAGGUGUGUGGGCAAGUUUUUUAUAUUUCAUAUAACCAUAUAAUAAUUACAGCACAGAAACAGGCCAUUUUGGCCCUUCUAGUCCGUGCUGAAUGCUUACUCUCACCUAGAUCCACCGACCUGUCCCACUGGCCCGCAUUCAGCCCAUAACCCUCCAUUCCUUUCCUGGCCAUAUACCUAUCCAAUUUUACUUUAAAUGACAAGAUCAAACCUGCCUCUACCACUUCUAAUGGAAGCUCGUUCCACACAGCUACCACUCUCUGAGUAAAGAAGUUACCCCUCAUGUUACUCCUAAACUUUUGCCCCCUAACUCUCAACUCAUGUCCUCUUGUCUGAAUCUCCCCUGCUCUCAAUGGAAAAAGCCUAUCCAUGUCAACUCUAUCUAUUUCCCUCAUAAUUUUAAAUACCUCUAUCAAGUCCCCCCCUCAACCUUCUACACUCCAAAGAGACAGGGACUUACAGAGACAUUAGGACCAUAAGAUACAGGAACCAAAUAGGCCAUUCUGGCCAUUUCAUUUGCACAGCAUCCUAUCAUGACCCAUUUAUUAUCCCUCUCAACCGCAUUUUCUCCCCAUCUCCUGCAACUUUGAUGCCUUCACUGAUCAGAGACCUGUCAAACUGUGCUUUAAACAUACCCAGUGAUUGUCCAUGGCAGUGAAUCCCACAGAUUCACCUUGCUCUGGAGGGACACGAAUCAUGUGAGGGGAGGGACUGGAUCAUGCAAGGGGAGGGAUGUGGAUCGUGCGAGGGGAGGGGUACAGAUCAUGUGAAGGCAGAAAUAAUUAAAAUAUAAAAUAAAGCGAUUGUAUUUAUUUUGUCAUCUGUAUGUGCAUCAAAAUAUUCAGGAAAUGCAUCAACGAAUGACUAAGUCCGAGGAUGCCCACAACUUACUACCCCUAAGUCCUUAUGUCUUUGGAAAGUGGGGUAUCUGGAGAAAUGCCACAGGGCCAGGAGGAAAAUGCACAUCUCUUACAGACAGCAGCAGGAAUUCAACCUCAGUCGCUGCUGCAGUAAAGUCCAAAGUACUUUAGUAAAGUAUCACAUUACCAUGUAGUUCAAACUUAGUAUGGUUCAGCAUAAUACAUUUCGAACAAACAUGCUGGAAAUCCGAGCAACACACACAAAAUGCUGGAGGAACUCAGCAGGCCAGGCAGCAUCUAUGGAAAAGAAUAAAGGUCUUGGCCCAGCACAUCGACUGUGUACCCAUUCCCAUAGAUGCUGCCUGGCCUGCUGAGUUCCACCAGUGUUCUGUGUGUGUUGCAUUUAGUACAGUUUGUCACUGUGGAGCGAAGGGCCUGUUGCUGUACUGUUCUGCGUUCAAAGUUCUACAUUUCAGCAGUUUGGUCAAAGGAUGAGUGGUUUAGAUGUGUUGCAACAUCGUACCUUAAACAACACCGUUACUGCAGACAGAAAGUACAUUCCUCAACAAGUUAUCAGAUGCAGAUACUCUGGGAGGACUUACAAGGGAUCGUUCCCUCCGUGAUCCCCUCGUCCAAUUGUCCCUGCCGGCACUUCUCCCUCCAAGCAGACGAGGUGACCCACCUGCAGUCAGGGCCCCAAAUAGUCCCUCCAGGUGAGGUGACACUCCAUCUGCUGGGGUUGCUGAUCCCGAUGUGGCCUCCUCUACACUGGUGAGACCUAACCUAAACCGGGGGACUGCUUCGUCGAGCAACUCCGCUUCAUCCGCCAAAAGUGAAACUUCCUGGUGGCCAAACAUCUUAAUUCCCAUUCCAACCUGUUGGUCCAUGACCUCCAAGGAAGUACGUCAACAGAUUGAAAGACUGCAGAGAAAAUUGACAUGGACUUUGCCAGGACUUGAGGAAUGUGAAUUAUAAGGAAAGAUUGAAAACUUAGAACUUAAUUCCCUAGAUCAAAGGAGAACGAGGAGACAUCGAUAAAUCGAUCAGCUCCCAGACACAUACAGAGAGAAACUAUAAGACACGAGAGAAAAAGUUGAGCAAGCUACAGCCUUUUUCUUCAGAGCGAAGGAGGAUGAGAGGGAGACUACUCGCCCUGUCCGUUUGAACUUCCUUCCAGAGCUGCCGCUGAACCUGCUGGACUCGUGCAACCAGAUGAGCUGGUUCGGCAGCCAGCCGGCCUUGCACACGCGCCCGUGGUGCGCAGCACGUCAGGGAGUGUCAGCACAGAGUUACACUUCAUCACAACAAAAGGCUGCCGAGGCCAAGUCAGCGGGUGCAUGUAAAGCGGAGGUUGAUAGGUUAUUGACUAGUCAGAGUGUCAAAGGUCACAGCGAGAGGGCAGGAGAAUGGGGCGGAGAGGGGCUGGGACAACACUUUACAGUACUGGGGACCCUGGUCCUGUCUGUGAGGAGUUUUGUGCGUUCCCCCAUAACCGCGUGGAUUUCGUCCAGCUUCCUCCCACAUUCCAAAAAUGUACCAAUUGUUAGGUUAAUUUGCCAAUGAAGAUUGUCCAUGAUUAAGCUGGGAUUAAAUUGGGGAUCGCUGGACCGCAUGGCUCGAAGGGCUGGAAGGAACUAUUCCCCACUGUAUCUCAAUAAGGUAAAUCAGCCACGAUGGAAUGGCCGAGCAAACUCGAUGGGCUGAAUGGCCUAAUUCUGCAUCUAUGUCUCAAUUCUUUAUUUCUCCAUUUGUUUGUUUAUUUAGCAAUACAGGAGGUCCAACACAGCACCCGAAUCUAAUCACAGGACAAUUUACAGUGACCACUGUGGGAGAAAACCCACACAUUCCACAGGGAGUUGGCACAGACAAAGCCGGAAUUGACAUCCGAACUGCACACUGCAAGUUGUUAUGCUCCGUAAACCGCUGGAGUAUACAGGGAGUAUACCGCAAGCAAAUGGCAAGGGCAAAAAAGUGGACAUAAGACAGCUUUAGCAGCUGAUGUCAAAGUAAACUGAAAGAAAUCCUACCAGUAGGACAAUAGUAUGUCUCAUACUAUCUGCACAACAUAUCAGACAUUUUGCACGUCUCACGGGGAAAGGUUAAGUGAGCUGGGGCUUCUCUCUUUGGGAGUGAGGGAGGGUGAGAGGGGGACUUGAUCAAGGUGUACACGGUGAUAAGAGGCAUAGAUUGAAUGGACAUUUUUCCCAACGUGGAAGUGGCUGACAUGAGGGGGCAUAGGCAUCACUGUAGGGUAGCACAACACUGUUCCAGCUUGGGCCAUUCCAGGGUUCGGAGUUCAAUUCUGGCAUUUCUGUGCAUCCUCCCCAAGGAAUGAGUCAGUUUUUUCCUGGUUUUCCGGUCUCCUCCCCUAUCCCAGGUAGGAUAAUUAAUUGGUCAGUGUAAAUUUUCCCAUGUGUAGAUUAGGUUUAAUCAGGUUUGUUGGGGAUGGCUGGGGCUGCAUGGCCUACUCCCCUUCCAACUCUAAAUAAAAAACAAAAAAUGAAACAAUAAAUAAUUUCAAAGUGAUUGCAGGAAAGUAUAUGGGAUGUCAGAGAUGUGUAGGUACACAAACUGGUGGGUGGUUGUGGAACGCACUGCUUGAGGUGGAGGCAGAGACAGAUAUAUUAGGGACAUUUAAGAGACUCAGACAGACACAUGGAUGGAAGAAAAAUGGAGGGUUAUGUAGGGGGGGAAGGGUUAGAUUGAUCGUGGAGUAGGUUAAAAGGUCUGCACAACACCAUGGGCCGAAGGGCCUGUACUGUUCUAUGUUGAGGGCAAAAAAGUGAGUAGGGAGAGAAAAGGACCCAUUAAAGAUUGAUGUACGGAGCCGCAGAAGAUGGGAAAAUUCAAAUCAAGUCUAUUGUCAUGUGCAGUGAGGUACGAAUACAACAAAAGGCUGUUUGCGGCAGCAUAUGAUCAUAAGCCAUAGAAACAGAAUUAGUCCAUUCAGCCCAUCGAGUCUGCUCUGUCAUUCCAUCAUGGCUGAUUUACUAUCCCUCUCAACCCCAUUCUCCUUCCUUCUCCCUGUAACCUUUGGCACCCUGACUAAUCAAGAGUCUAUCAUCGUCUGCUUUAAAUAUACUCAAUGACUUGGCAUCCACAGCUGCCUGUGGCAAUGAAUCCCACAGAUUCGCCGCCCUCUGGCUAAAUUUCUGUUCCAAAUGGACACCCCUCUACUCUGAGGCUGUGCCCUCUGGUCCCAGACUCUCCCACCAUCGAAAACAUCCUCUCCACAUCCACUCUGUCCUGGCCUUUCAAUAUCCGAUAAGUUCCGAUGAGAACCGUCCUUAUUCUUCUGAUCUCCAGUGAGUACAGGCCCAGAGCCAUCAAAUGCUCCUCACAUGUUAUUAACCCUUUCAUACCUGGGAUCGCUGGUGAACCUCCUCUGGAUCUUCUCAGAUACCAGCGCAUCCUUUCUUAGAUCAGAGGCCCAAACCUGCUCACAAUACUCCAAGUGGGGUCUGACUAAUGGCUUAUAAAGCCUCAGCAUUACAUCCUAGCUUUCAUAGUAGUCUAUUUCUGCAGCAUAUAGGAUUCCAAGAAGAGGACAGAGUGAGGGAAGAAGGGGUGAGGAGGUGAUGGGGAGGGUAAGGCAGUGAUAGAUCAUAGUACAGUACAGCACAGGGAUAGAUUAUCUGGCCCACAUUCAGCCCCAGUGUAAUGAUUUACAGUGCCAGCCACCCAGGCUCAAUUCCUGUCACUCUCUGUAAGGAGUUGUUCAUUCUCCCCAUGUCCUCUGGGUGCUCCGGUUUCCUCCCACAUUCUAGAGACGUAUGGGUGAGGGUUAGUAAAUCGUGGCCGUGCUACGUAUGCGCUGGAAACGUGGUGACAGUCGGACUGUGUUGGUCACUGAUUCAAAGCAGCGCUGUAUAUUUCGAUGUACAUGGGACGAAUAAAGUGAAUCUUUAACUUAGAAUGUUUCAAGAUGCAGAGAACAGAGGAGAGUGGGGAGAGCUGGUGGGAAGGUAAGGGAGGGUGAAGCAGUGUCAGAGCAUAGAAUAGUAACAGGCCUUUCUGCCCACAAAGUCUGCUUUGAACCCGCUGUCGAAUUUAACUCAAUUCCUUCUGCCUGCACCUAACUCCAUCUCUCCAUCACUGCAUGGUAAAGAUUCUUGUUUAAUGACAUUUCCUGUACACAAGGGUAAAGGAAAAUGAAAUAAUUGUUACUCCAGAUUCAAUGCAGCACAAAAAAACACGUGAUGAAAUAAAGAACAGAAUACAGAAACACAAUAAAUAUAAAUACAUAAGAUAGCCCAUACACAUAGACUGAAUCAGAAUCAGGUUUAUUAUCACCGGCAUGUGAUGUGAAAUUUGUUAACUUAGCAGCAGCAGUUCAAUGCAAUACAUAAUCUAGCAGAGAGCGAGAGAGAAAAAAAUAAAAUAAAACAUAAUAAACAAGUAAAUCAAUUACAUAUAUUCAAUAGAGUUUUAGAAACAUGCAAAAACAGAAAUACUGCAUAUUAAAUAAAGUGAGGUAGUGUCCAAGGAUUCAAUGUCCAUUUAGGAAUCGGAUGGCAGAGGGGAAGAAGCUGUUCCUGAAUCGCUGAGUGUGUGCCUUCAGGCUGUUUGUAUGUUCAUAAAGUGACUCCAGGCACACGAGUGGUGACUGACAGGAAAUGAUAAAGUAGUGGUGGUGGGGGGUCGUGGAGAGGUGGGUUAGUGGGUGGAGGUGUUGAUCAGACUCACUGCUUGGGGAAAGUGACUGUUUCUGAGUCUGGGUGUGGAGGGGUGGGUCAGUGGGUGGAGGUGUUGAUCAGCCUCACUGCUUGGGGAAAGUGACUGUUUCUGAGUCUGGGUGUGGAGGGGUGGGUUAGUGGGUGGAGGUGUUGAUCAGCCUCACUGCUUGGGGAAAGUGACUGUUUCUGAGUCUGGGAGUGGAGGGGUGGGUUAGUGGGCGGAGGUGUUGAUCAGCCUCACUGCUUGGGGAAAGUGACUGUUUCUGAGUCUGGGAGUGGAGGGGUGGGUCAGUGGGCGGAGGUGUUGAUCAGCCUCACUGCUUGGGGAAAGUGACUGUUUCUGAGUCUGGGAGUGGAGGGGUGGGUUAGUGGGCGGAGGUGUUGAUCAGCCUCACUGCUUGGGGAAAGUGACUGUUUCUGAGUCUGGGUGUGGAGGGGUGGGUCAGUGGGUGGAGGUGUCGAUCAGCCUCACUGCUUGGGGAAAGUGACUGUUUCUGAGUCUGGGAGUGGAGGGGUGGGUCAGUGGGUGGAGGUGUUGAUCAGCCUCACUGCUUGGGGAAAGUGACUGUUUCUGAGUCUGGGAGUGGAGGGGUGGGUCAGUGGGCGGAGGUGUUGAUCAGCCUCACUGCUUGGGGAAAGUGACUGUUUCUGAGUCUGGGAGUGGAGGGGUGGGUCAGUGGGUGGAGGUGUUGAUCAGACUCACUGCUUGGGGAAAGUGACUGUUUCUGAGUCUGGGAGUGGAGGGGUGGGUUAGUGGGUGGAGGUGUUGAUCAGCCUCACUGCUUGGGGAAAGUGACUGUUUCUGAGUCUGGGAGUGGAGGGGUGGGUUAGUGGGUGGAGGUGUUGAUCAGCCUCACUGCUUGGGGAAAGUGACUGUUUCUGAGUCUGGGUGUGGAGGGGUGGGUCAGAGGGUGGAGGUGUCGAUCAGCCUCACUGCUUGGGGAAAGUGACUGAUUCUGAGUCUGGGAGUGGAGGGGUGGGGUAGUGGGCGGAGGUGUUGAUCAGCCUCACUGCUUGGGGAAAGUGACUGUUUCUGAGUCUGGGUGUGGAGGGGUGGGUCAGUGGGCGGAGGUGUUGAUCAGCCUCACUGCUUAGGGAAAGUGAGUGUUUCUGAGUCUGGGAGUGGAGGGGUGGGUCAGUGGGUGGAGGUGUUGAUCAGCCUCACUGCUUGGGGAAAGUGACUGUUUCUGAGUCUGGGUGUGGAGGGGUGGGUCAGCGGGCGGAGGUGUUGAUCAGCCUCACUGCUUAGGGAAAGUGAGUGUUUCUGAGUCUGGGAGUGGAGGGGUGGGUCAGUGGGUGGAGGUGUUGAUCAGACUCACUGCUUGGGGAAAGUGACUGUUUCUGAGUCUGGGAGUGGAGGGGUGGGUCAGUGGGUGGAGGUGUUGAUCAGCCUCACUGCUUGGGGAAAGUGACUGUUUCUGAGUCUGGGAGUGGAAGGGUGGGU